AUUGAACGCUGGCGGCAUGCCUAACACAUGCAAGUCGAACGGCAGCACGGUGUGUAGCAAUACACAUGGGUGGCGAGUGGCGGACGGGUGAGUAGAAAGUAGGGAUCUGCCUUGUAGAUUGGGAUAACUUGGGGAAACUCGAGCUAAUACCGGAUAAGCACUAAGGUGGAAAGCAUGGGACCGAAAGGCCAUGCGCUAUAAGAUGAACCUACGUCGGAUUAGUUAGUUGGUUAGGUAAAGGCUGACCAAGACGAAGAUCCGUAGCUGGUCUGAGAGG
rnacentral:rRNA from 1 species